CCUAAUCACGCAGCUUACGCUUGAAUCAGAUAAACGGUUACUUACUUAUCAGAUUACCAAAAUCAUAGAGUGAAAAAAGAAUAAAAAUUGAUAAAUAUGUACAUAUCUAUACUGACUGCUCAACAUUAAUGUGAGAGGUCAUAGUCUGAGCUGGUUGGUAUACAUCGCAUGUAAUAACUAAAUACCUAAGUUGCUUGAAAUCAAGUGCAUAAAAAAUAAAAAUUAGAGCUUUUAGGUUCAAAAACUAAUAACGUUGACACACCAAAUCAAGUAUUGAAAUUUCACCGUAGGUGUCGAGUUUCAUUCAAAGGAACUUGACUUAUAGUUUCUUUACCGUUUACUUCCAGAUUUAUUUUUUCUUUUUUUAUUACUCGUAUAGGUAUACCCUAUGCGGCUCUAUAAGCACAAGUUUUAAACGUACAAAAAAAUCAAAGAGCCAAAUUAAAAUCGGUCUAACAGUUUGUUCUUAAAAGUUCCGAGUUUUUAUCCUUCAACUGCUCAACCACGGUAAACUUCAGUGAUGAAAUUCAAUAAUUUACUAGAGGCUUUCACUCUCUUGAACUUGCAAGCUUUCAGUGCGGCGUUCCCCUCGGGAUGUAAGUCCAAAAUCAGUAAUGAGCUUGUCCAAUCGCACUAUCGUAGAAAUGCACUUGAGCCUAAUUCACCACAGGAUGAUCAUCUCAACUUGUUGGCUUCAGGAUUAAGAAGAAACCAAAAUGCGAUUCAAGAACAUCUGCAAACGGAUGGGGAACACUCGCCUUACCUUUCUGACAGGUAUAUUUUGGAAAAUCCCUUGGCAGAUAGCAAAGAAAUUUUAACAAAACCGAUGGAAAGAGUGAAUGAAAAAGAUGACAAGAAUAACCUGAAAAAAUCGCGACUCGACUCACGACAUUUGUCAAUGUAUUCGACGGAAGAUCUGGUUCAAGACACCUCCCUCAUUGUAAAAGUAAUGGUCUGGCCUAUUACAGAAUUGAUUUCCCUCAUUUCCGACACACUUAGUGUCGCGCUGAUGAUGAUGAUGAUGAUGAUGAUGAUGAUAAUUAACUUGAACUCGCUGUUUAAUAUUGGAAAUCUAUGCAAGGAUCCAGAGAGUAAUCAUCUUUGAGAAACACGAAAAAUUACGCAACACUGUGCUUCGCGUGUGUAAAAAGCUUCUGACUAAACCUCCGCCCCCCUUACGGCGUAGGGAUACGUAUAUUGCAAGUCCACUCCCGAGGUAGCAAUCGCAUCGUUUGUGAGGUAGGUUUUGCGGUAAGAUUAUGUAACUUUAAUGGGUUGUUUCACCUCAAAAAUUGUUCAUGUAGGUAACUAAGUAGGUAAAUACAAACAAAUAUGUAAAAUGAAUAAAUACUUAUUUAACUCUCAUUUUAAGUAUUAAGUAUACUAUCUGUCUUUAUGGGCAUCGAAUGUUUUGAAAUUCGUUGUUUUACAAACUUUUCAAGAUCCAUCCCUGCCUACUAAAAGAACAUUUGAUAGAGGGGGCGAGUAAAAUGAAUAUUCCCAAUUCGACCGCGGUGAAACUCCCACAUCAGGUAGGUAUCUCGUUUGCGGUGUUAUUAAGUCUCUUCUCUCAGUUUAUUUUUUUAAAGGAGCUCAAAUCAUUUAUUAUUCUUUGAAGUUUUCUCAAAAGUUCCUUGAAAAACAAAAUCACCGAAAUUGUAAGGGUUUAUGUUGAAUAGUUUUCAAUUCAAAGACUGCGACGUCGCAAACCAUGAUACGAGAUUUGGGAGUUUCACCGCCGAUAGGUAUUGGGUACCAUUUUCCGCAGUUUUGCGUUAUGAUUCCACAAUUUGCCUCUUCUCUCAUUCGAAGGCGCGCAACGGCACCAGGAUCAACGAAGAGAAACCACACGGAAAAAACGAGUUUAGGGCUGGUACCUGCACCGAAGGUCCCAGCCCUAACCGGGUAGGUAAAAUUGCUUCACCUCCACCGCCAUGGGGGCAGGCCCGGCGCGCGUAGAGUCCAAAUCUACCUGCUCCAGGGUUCAGCCCUACCUGAUAAGAGCUAGACCCUCUCCAGGUAGGGCUGGGCCUUACCCGCGCAGGGCCUGCCCCUGUGGCGGUGGAGGUGAAGCAAUUCUAGGGCCCAGCCCUAAUCUCGUUUUUUCAGUGCACCCUUGAGGAUUGGGCACUUACUGAUGGAUUUUAACUGAUAAUCUUUCCUAAUAGACCCAAGUAACACGAAGCAAGGAAAAUAAAGCAAUAAAGCUGCGAUUUAAUACAAUAAAAUUGCAAUUAAUUUAGGAAGGAAUUGCAAUAUUUUUACAACAGCUGGUCAAAAUUAAAGUCGAUUUUAACCAAUCAAUAGAAUGAAUUCCAUACAUCCUAAGAGAUAGGAAAUAUGCAAUACAAAGAAAAAUUGCAACUUUGUUGUGCUGAGUUUCAACGGGAGGAACCCCUUCAGUUAGUAGUUAGGCAACAGUUACAACACUCCAACGCAGUAAGUAGCAAUAAUAUUCGUAUUAAUUGCAAAUAAUCUCGAAUUAUUACAAAAUGUGCUAACUAGUUAAACUAGUGGUAUUAUGGACAUGAUCUGUAACUAUGCUUAGGUUCUCCAUGUCUUAAGUAUUGAGACUGACCAAGUAAUUCUUCGAUGUGAAUAAAUCCUUGGAACUGAAAAUGACCCGGAAUUUCAUGAUCCUGUUCCUCUAUACCUACAUAUACCUAACAAUAAUUAAACUUUUUCAGCACGGGGAAAACCCCGCAUGGAGGUAAUAUAAAUCAAUUUUUCGGUUUUUGAUACAGCACACUUGCUGCUCCUUUCAAAAAUACCUACUGAGUCAAAAUUUCAUUAAAUUAUUGAUUUGCAGUAUAAAUAAUGUUACAAGCGUUUGAAGUGAAUUCAUUUCUAAGACUGGCAACAACAACAGCGAGCUAAAAAAGCAGUUUUCUCAAAUUCCCCUUUUUGUAUUGAAAAUUAUACUACUGCCCAUGGCCGGAUUUACCUACUUGCCGCCCAUGGUCCGCCUGUAUUCUGCCACCCUCUUCUCAUUCAUUUUGAAACAUCAAUAAAAACCAUCAAGUGAACGUGCCGGAGGGAGAAGGGUGCAUAAGACGCGUUCACUCGUGUUGGACACAUUUUUUGCGUACCCUGCUAAAAAUUUCUCAUGGGAAUGACAUGUGAUCACAUGCGCUCUCAUGGGAAUGGCAUGUGAUCACAUGUGCUCUCACGAGAACGGCAUGUGAUCACAUGCGCUCCCAGGGGAAUGACAUGUGAUCACAUGUGCUCUCAGGGGAAUGACACGACAUCACAUGUGCUCCCCUGGGGAAUGGACAGGGGAGCCCGUUAGCUCCCCUGGGAGCUAACAUGUGACCCGUGCGCUCCCAUGAGAGUGUAUAUGUGACCCGUAUACAUAUCGUCGCUUCUCUGACGUAAGGGCGUAUCUCGAUUUGCACAUGAGCCCCGGAAAGCAUAGGUUUAUAUGGAGAACAGGGCUCAAGUGGAAAUCGAGAUACGCCCUUACGUCAGAGGAGCGACGAUAUAUGUGCUCUCGCGGGACCUCUCACGAUGUCCCGUGGAUCAUCAUUGAACUUCCGGAAAAAUGCCACGGGCCCAUAUGUGACUGCAGUCCACCACAGUAGAGCAUCACAGAACUAUAUUCAUGGGAAAUGCAUACAGGACCUUACAGCGUCCUAUAAAGACGUCACCGAACUUAAGAACGGAUACGGUGCGACAAAACUGCGUCUCUAUCUACUUUGGAUGCUUUUUAAGUUAUACCCUGAUAAAAAUAUUUCCCCUGGGGCUGCACACGAGAUCACACCUGCUUCCCUGAGGAAUACCAAGGAAAGCCCCUGUGCUCCCCAAUGAAUGACAGGAGGUCACCUGUGCACCCAUGGGAGUCUGGGGAUCUUCAGUCCUGUCCCUCCGUCCCCGCGCGUCCCGUAGCUUUCAGGUUCGGUUGGCGAACUUCCGGCUUAUCGGGUUUUUUUUAGUUUAUUUAUUUUUCAAUCCAUUUCAUUUAUCUAUUGAUUUUUUUAUUUAUUGAUUUUUGUUAAUUUAUUGUUUUAUAUUUUUAUUUAUUGAUUUAUUUUCAUAAUAUUUUUCAGGUGCCUUAUAGCCAGAAAGAUGCUAUGGAGGCAAAUAAAUUCGAUACAUUACAUACUAUUUUAUAUAAAUAAUUUAACAUACUUUAUUUCUUUAUGAAAAUACAUUUUAUUCUACUUAUGAAUUGUUUAUUUUAAUCUACUUUAUUUUAUUUAUUUAUAUUAAUCUUUUUUUAUUUUAUUUUAUUCAUUCAUUGAUUACAAUCUGUUCAAUGUAUUUAUUUAUUUAGGGUAAUUUAUUUAAUUUUCUUGUUUAUUUUAUUUCAUUCAAUUUCAUUCAUGUAUUUUUCUUCGUUUUAAUAACUAUAUAUACUUUUUUUUAUUUUGAUUCAUGUGUUAUUCACUUCUUUCUUUCCAAAAAUUGAUCUAAUUUUUUAUUAUUUUUGUUUCUUUGAAACUGCGUAGGUAAUGUAGAAAUCUUCAAGAAUAUCGUUGCUUUCCAUCAUGGAAUCAACGCGGCGCGGCGCUGGGGAUGUUUAUGCUUGCUAAAUUACCCUCGGUUAGCACGUGAGCCUCAGGAGCUCCACGGCAGCGGCACUCGGGCGAUCACGAGGGUUAAGUAACGUCGGGCGUAGUUAGUACUUAGAUGGGAGACCGCUUGGGAAUGACCGCACUGCGGAGGUUUGCAUAAUAGAAAAGAAUUCCUCUCAUGUCCUAAACAUACCACGGCAAUAGUGCGAGUUAAUUUUCGCGUUUAAUCCUUAAUCUUUUUCUUCUAUGGCUCUGCUAGUGGAGACGGCAUAUUGGGCACGGACUAGGGAGCUUCCCAUGGGAGCUACUUCUCAUGGGAGCUACUUCUCAUGGGAGCCACUUCUCAUGAGAGCCACAUCUCAGGGGAAUCAUUCCCCUGCCCAAAACAGCCUGAGUGAAAUUCCCAUGAGAAAUUUUUAGCAGGGUAAGCCCUGUCAUAGUUCACGGAACUUCGCGCGAAAGUUCAGUUCCAUAAACCUUUCGCUGUGGGGACAAGGCAAUUGUAUUUGUAAGAAACGAACUAAAAAGUUAAGAAAGAACGAACAUAAAUGUGGUUUAAUAAUUUUAACUUCCGCGCGCCGCGCUGACCACACUGUGUUUGACGCAAUGCGGGAAGUAUUCA
rnacentral:lncRNA from 1 species